AUGCAAUAUAAAUAUUUACUAGAACCACUCAGCCCUCUCAUUGCCCCACCACCACCACCACCAUCGCCACCUCCCUUGCGUCCCUCCGCAUUUCCCCUCCCUCGCUCCCUCCCUCCCUCCAUCCAUCCAUCACCGGCUGCCUCCCUGCAUCCCUCCCUCGCCGUCCUGCCUUUUUUUCCCUCCCUCCUGCCUCCUAUCGCCUCUUUCUGCUUCUCCAAGCAAAACGGAGGCGCCACACCAGCGUUUGUGGAUCCACAUGUGAGUGUCAUCCUGCCUGGCUAAAGUCUGACCUAAAUACUUCAGGUUUUUGAUGAUUGGACCAAAACAGAGAUCAGAGGCGUCCAGCGGGCUUGUCGUGAUAAUGGAGAGAAGGAAGGGAGGCAGAGGAUCUGGACACACUCAUGCAGAGAUUCUGGUACUUACCGCACUUCGUAACUGUACAACACGGAGCUCAUAAACCAGUCAAACCUCAUUUUAAAGCCUCACCUUCCACCCCACAUUGAGAUGAAAAAGCUGCAGUGCAUCAGCUCUUUGAAACAGUAAUCCACUGCUAAAACUGGCCUGGGCACGAGGGGUCCAUCAUUCACACGCUCUGGGGGUGGGGGACACAUCAGAGAACCUCUGACCUUGUCUUGUGACCACACCGAGAGAUUGAAGAGCUGGUAAUGCAGCGAUGGCAGCUGGCCCACCAGUUAAUGAUCUGAUUCUUCGUUUUUCAGCUUAAUACUGAUCCAUACUGCUCACCAUUGUGUCCUCACAUAGCCACACACACACAUUGUCUCCCUAGCACACACACACACACACACACACACAAAGACAAUCAGAACAGGAAACAUGGAGGUCAAAGAAUGGCUCACCAGUUUUUAAGUGCACCCAUUUAUUUUUCAUGAAAUGACGUGAGGGGACUUGAUAGGCGAGAGCACGAUGAUGAAGUCCCUUCCAAUUUCAUUGGCACCUGCUCCUUCAUGCUGCAGGACAGGAAAUAAAGACGGGCAGCUCUGACCAGAAGAAAUCUUUUAAAAUGUUUCAGUCAGGUGAAACUCAGGUCAAGUACUGUGACGCUUCAAAAGAACUUCAUUAAUCAGUGCUAAAAGAUGGAGUUUAUCACAGAUGUAAGCGAGUUAGCCUUAUGCUCUAACAUACAUACAACAAACAAUACUUUUUAAAUUUUGUUUAUUCUAUUUCCAAGCAUAAUACUGCAAUUUAAAACAAAUACAUUUAAAUUAAAUCAAAUUAAAAACAAGUUAUUUCCACAGUUCUUAACCCUUGGAAGUUAUUUCCUGUUUUGGGUGUCCACACUGCAGGAUCCAGAGAAGAAGAAACCCUGAAGAGGAACCUUUUAAGUGUAUGGUGAUUGGUGUAGACAUAAUCGCAGCAUGAGCAACUACCACAUUCAAAAAUAUAUUAAAAAAUUCAAAAACACCAACUGUGUAAUGCCUCAGUCACCAAGCCUAGAGAUCAAUC
rnacentral:lncRNA from 1 species